GAACCUCCGGGAAUUUUGAGCUUCCUGAUUUCCCUUGGCUGAGUCUAGAAUGCUUUGCACAGAUUUUAGUUUCACACAUAAUCUUUAUUUCCUCGUUUAAAAAUAAGGAGUGAUAUUUAUAGUAACAGUAAAAACCAAGUGACAUUUUCAUCUAGGCCAGCAAGUUGUAGUGUUUAGACAACUCUGGUUGAAAUGUUGUUUCUGCCACUUAUGUAUAUGGGCUUGGGCAUGUUCCCUCCUCUGUAAGGUGGGGAUAACAAUGUCGUCUCAAUGAUGCCAUGCUCUCAGAGGUAAGGACUUAGCGUAAAAGGUUUUAAUCUGGAGUCUGUGAUUGUGCUUCAGGAAUCUUUUGCUCCUGUAAUUCUAUGUAAAAUUUUGUGUAUGUUUGAAUUUUUCUAAGGGAGAGAUUUCAGAGCUUCCACAAGAAUCCCAGAGGAGUCCUUGACCACUAAAUACUGAGAACCACUAGCCUUACACAGUGCCUGGCAGAUGGCAAGUAUCCAUUCAAUGUUAAUUCUUUCUCUCUCUGCCAAGGAUACAUUUUAUAAUCAGCAGCUUAUUGAUGCUGACAUAGUUAUUUUUGAUAACAAAGGAAUUACUUAAAUUCGGAAUAGAAAUAAGAACUCUGCUGCUGUCUUUGCUCCGUUACCUGCCCAUGUGCUCCUCUUGAGCUGUGUUAGCUCCCUAGGUGCUGCUCAAACUGUCCCUUUUCUCCUCAUCCCCUGAGGACCAACUUGUAUUAUUUACUAUAGAAGAAGGAGCCAGUUCUGUUCUUUUAGAGUGAAAUGUGGAGUGACUCUUAGAGAUAGUACACGGGAAACAAGAGUAAUGCAAAAGAAAAAGGGGUGGAGGGACAGGAGUUAUUCUGGAAAACAGGAAGAGGAUCAAAAUGCCUGGUACAGUGCUGAGCACAUAAUCAUUAAUAAUGAAUCACAGAAAGGAAUGAAGAAGCAGAUGUGCAUUAAACAGUGGGAAGUGGGACACUUCCCUGGCAGUCCAGUGGUUAAGACUCUGCCAUUCCAACGCAGGGGGCGUGGGUUUGAUCCCUCGUUGAGCAACUAAGAUCGCACGUGCCGCGCGGUGUGGCAAAAAAACAAAAACAAACAAAAAAAAACAGUGGGAAGGGGUGAUGGGAAAAGAGAGAACUGGGAAGAAAGAAUCUUCCGUAGUUUCCCCCCUUCCAGGGCUUUUGUGCCCUGUGGCGGGCUGCCCACUUUUGCUGCCACUUACAUUCCUGAGUUAGAAGCACACUGCAUGGGGCGGGUAGGAAUGGUGAAGAAGCCUGAGCUCCAGGCUAGAGGGUCAUGAUGGGACCAUCAAGCUUGUUUAGAUGCUUCUUUUAAGUCCCAGCCUCUUAAUUUCCCCAUAAAAAGCAAAAACAGAAAGCAAAAAUUAGGGUUGAACAAUGGCCAAGUUGUUCAUUAAUAUCUUAUCCUUUAUCUGCAGCAUCCAAUGCCCAGAUCCCCAGAGACUUCGACCUUGGAACCAGCAUGGAGAACCUAUUCCUCAACUCCAUCAACUUUGUGGCCACAUCUUCUCUUUUCUUUUAGUCCUGAGACUGCCCUGGAGAGGAGAGGGGAGGACAGAGGAAAAGCAGUGACAGAUUUAUCCUUUGGCUUCUCUGGGAUUGGCUCCUGCCAUUCAUGGCUGGCUUUGGGAAUCCUCAGUGUGAUCCAGCUCACAGGAUGGGCAAACUGAGGCAUAGAGAGGUUGGGUCAUCCAAGCCACAGAACCAGGAGGUGGCACCAGCGUUCAGACUUACACAGUGAGUAGCCCAAGUGGGGGCAUGUGGCCCAAGUUUGGCCAAUAAAACUCAGGCUGGGGAAAAUGUGACCCUUGUCCUUUUUGGCCCUUGACUGUUGGGAUAUGAGACUAAGGCUGCUGAUGGCUGUGAUUCUAGCCUAGUGAUGCAGCUGGUCUGAGGGUAUGGUGUCAGAGAGAAGCAAAGAUGAGAUAGAGAGAGAUGAAAACCAGUACAUGUGCUCUGAAGCUUAGGCUGGCCUGGCUCACAUCCCUUGUCCUUGUGAUGGAGAGCUCUUAUGAACGUGAUGCUCAGACCCAUCCCCACUGUCGGUGUAGUGGAAA